rnacentral:rRNA from 1 species
CGAACGCUGGCGGCGUGCCUAAUACAUGCAAGUCGAACGCUUCUUUUUCCACNCGGAGCUUGCUCCACCGUGAAAAAGAGGAGUGGCGAACGGGUGAGUAACACGUGGGUAACCUGCCCAUCAGAAGGGGAUAACACUUGGAAACAGGUGCUAAUACCGUAUAACAAUCGAAACCGCAUGGUCUUGAUUUGAAAGGCGCUUUCGGGUGUCGCUGAUGGAUGGACCCGCGGUGCAUUAGCUAGUUGGUGAGGUAACGGCUCACCAAGGCCACGAUGCAUAGCCGACCUGAGAGGGUGAUCGGCCACAUUGGGACUGAGACACGGCCCAAACUCCUACGGGAGGCAGCAGUAGGGAAUCUUCGGCAAUGGACGAAAGUCUGACCGAGCAACGCCGCGUGAGUGAAGAAGGUUUUCGGAUCGUAAAACUCUGUUGUUAGAGAAGAACAAGGAUGAGAGUAACUGUUCAUCCCUUGACGGUAUCUAACCAGAAAGCCACGGCUAACUACGUGCCAGCAG